AUUGAACGCUGGCGGCAUGCUUUACACAUGCAAGUCGAACGGCAGCGCGGGCUUCGGCCUGGCGGCGCGUGGCGAACGGGUGAGUAAUGCAUCGGAACGUGCCCAGUAGUGGGGGAUAGCCCGGCGAAAGCCGGAUUAAUACCGCAUACGACCUGAGGGUGAAAGCGGGGGACCGAAAGGCCUCGCGCUAUUGGAGCGGCCGAUGUCGGAUUAGCUAGUUGGUGGGGUAAUGGCUUACCAAGGCGACGAUCCGUAGCUGGUCUGAGAGGACGACCAGCCACACUGGGACUGAGACACGGCCCAGACUCCUACGGGAGGCAGCAGUGGGGAAUUUUGGACAAUGGGGGCAACCCUGAUCCAGCCAUGCCGCGUGCGGGAAGAAGGCCUUCGGGUUGUAAACCGCUUUUGUUCGGGAAGAAAUCCUCUGGGCUAAUACCCCGGGGGGAUGACGGUACCGGAAGAAUAAGCACCGGCUAACUACGUG
rnacentral:rRNA from 1 species